UAAUUCCAAAGUAUUUUUUUCAUGAAAAGAAAUUAUACAUUUAUCUUGAACAGAUCUCAGACAGCUCUUGACUUUUCAUAAAAGAAAAUACUUUGGAAGUACUUUACAAAAAUGUACAAAAAGAUUGUUUUCCAUGAGGCUCAUCGGGUGUCUCUCAGACUAGGAUGUCCUUAAACAGCUAUGACCAUGACUGUCGGAAAUGCGUAAAGAUUUACAGAGAUCUUCAGGGUAAGGUACAUUCAGAUUUAUGUUGUCAAAGCAUCAAGCUUUACAAAAGAUGUUGAGCUACACAUAAAAAAUAUGAAGAAAUAGAAGUGUUCUACAAAGUAAGAAAAUAUUUGGACCCAGUAUUAAGAGUAUGAACCAAUCAAACAGUUGGUUACAAGUUUCUCAUAAAUGGUCAACAGAUUCAUUUCACAUUAUUUUGCAGAGAUGUACAUGAUGUAUUAUUACAAAGAUACUCUUUGGCAAGAACACAAUCCAAACAGAUGGACAGUCAGUGAGCAGACUGGGGCAAAAGCGCAAAAGUAAACGAAUAACAGUAUCAGAUCAUGCAUGUUUACACAGAUAAUUCCUUAAUAUUGAUGUGACAGAAAAGUGAAUCAUCUCAUUCCACAGAAGUAUAACCUGUGACACAGAAAUACACUGAUAAUGACAUGACAUAAGAUUGAACACAUCGCAGAUAUCAAAAUCGUACUACAAAAUCCUUUUUUCUUCCUUUUUCCUUUUCAAAAGUUUGUUUUACAAAAUUUUACACUGGAACUCGAAGAAAAAAAACUGCAUCUCAGCAGGUAAACAUGGCAUAAAUGAACAAACGUUAUAUGUUAUUAAAACAUUUAUUCGGCUUUCUUGCUUAUCUACAAUUAACCAUAAGCUGCCAAUUAUGCCCCUGAAAGCAAUGGACCACGGUAAAGACCUCCUGUCUCAUAUUAGCAAUUAAGUUGGAAUAAGUAAACUUUCCAUCCAUGUCUGAUGACGACAAUGUUUACACCACAUUAAACAAAAAGUAUAUGGCUGCUUGCUGCUUGUAAAAGAACGUCAGACUUCAUCAGUUCUUGAUUUAAGAUAUGGGAAGACUGCAGGAGUUUGUGGGGCAGAGGCUGUCCUUUUUGCUUUAUCAUUCUUCCAGCACAAACAUGGUUCCUUAGCACAUUU